UACGUAGGGGGCAAGCGUUGUCCGGAAUUAUUGGGCGUAAAGAGCGCGUAGGCGGUCCGGUAAGUCGGUUGUGAAAGUCGGGGGGCUCAACCCUCGGAUGCCGAUCGAUACUGUCGGGCUAGAGUCCGGAAGAGGCGAGUGGAAUUCCUGGUGUAGCGGUGAAAUGCGCAGAUAUCAGGAGGAACACCAAUGGCGAAGGCAGCUCGCUGGGACGUGACUGACGCUGAGACGCGAAAGCGUGGGGAGCAAACAGG
rnacentral:rRNA from 1 species